rnacentral:rRNA from 1 species
GUGAGGAAUAUUGGUCAAUGGGCGGGAGCCUGAACCAGCCAAGUCGCGUGAAGGAAGAAGGAUCUAUGGUUCGUAAACUUCUUUUGCAGGGGAAUAAAGUGCAGGACGUGUCCUGUUUUGUAUGUACCCUGAGAAUAAGGAUCGGCUAACUCCGUGCCAGCAGCCGCGGUAAUACGGAGGAUCCGAGCGUUAUCCGGAUUUAUUGGGUUUAAAGGGUGCGUAGGUGGUUUGAUAAGUCAGUGGUGAAAGUUUGCAGCUUAACUGUAAAAAUGCCGUUGAAACUGUCGGACUUGAGUGUAAAUGAGGUAGGCGGAAUGCGUGGUGUAGCGGUGAAAUGCAUAGAUAUCACGCAGAACUCCGAUUGCGAAGGCAGCUUACUAAGCUACAACUGACACUGAAGCACGAAAGCGUGGGGAUCAAACAGGAUUAGAAACCCGAGUAGUCC